CUUCACCGUGCCGAGCUUCAGCGGACGGUCCGCGGGCCGCUCCCGCCCGUAGGUGGCGAGCAGCGCCUCCGCCUC
rnacentral:antisense_RNA from 1 species